GGGUUAAUUACAUACAGCUUUCUGUAAACAUAUUGAAUAGCAGAUAUAACUCUACAAAAUUUAACUUUUAUAUUUAUUUUUAUAAAAAUUUUAACAUUUUUAAAUAUAACUCUAAAUCCGUUAGAAAAAUAUAGUUAAUAAUGAGUAAAAUACUUAAUUUGAUUAAUGAAUAAGGUAAAUUAAACUUUUUACUCUUCUUAUAUUAUUUGUGAUGGUAAAAAAGAAUAAAAAUGACUGUUGGAGAUUUUCGGAAGUAUAUUUCUACAUAACUUUUACAGUCGAGAAUUUUAGAGGGACACAUUUGUGAUAGCAAAAAUAUUAUUUCAUAUCUUUUGUUAAAAAAUAAAUAAUACUCUAACAGUAGCAAACCAAAUGGACGAAUAUGAAUAUUAUUGAAUUUUUAUAGAAAUAAAUAUAAAAAGUUAAACUAUAUGUUUAGAUAGAGCGGUAUAAAAUUAACUCUGUAUUUUAUAUCUCAUUUAUCUAGUAAGAAUCAAAUGAACAGUAAAAAUGUCUCACUUAUUAAAUGUACAUGUGGUUCUUUUGGAGUGUGUAAGUAGCAUUUAUGGGAAAACUUCAAAUAACCCCAUGUGGUUUCAUUUUUUCUCACUUUAGUACCUUAUAGUUUAAAGUGUAUCAAGUUAGUUUCCUGUGGUUUUGCACUUUUUCACUUUAGUAUCUUACGGUUUAAAAUGUAUCAAGGUAGUACCCUGUAGUUUCGCACUUUAUCACUUUAGUACCCUGUGGUUUAAAAACCACAUGGUACUAACUUGAUACAAAAAUAAAACCACAGGAUACUAACUUGAGAUAAAAAUAAAAUCAUAGAGUACUAACUUGAUACACUUUAAAUUACAGAGUACUAAAGUAAUAAAGUGAGAAACCACAAAGUACUAAUUUGAUAUAUUUUAAAUCAUAGGAUACUAAAAUGAAAAGGUGCGAAACCACAAGAGGAGUAUUUUGAAGUUUUUUCAAAAAUAAACAAUACUCUAACAGUAACAAACCAAAGGAACGAGUAUGAAUAUUAUUAAAUUUUUAUAGAAAUAAAUAUAAAAAGUUGAACUAUAUGUUUAGAUAGAGCGGUAUAA
rnacentral:lncRNA from 1 species